CUUGAGGCUUUGCUCCAAGACCAGUUUACAGAGGUAGAAAAGUGGAUCGCAAAAAAACAAACUCUUCCUGAACACUGACAAAACUGUCACAAUGAUCUUUGGAACAGUACCUAAAUUACACAAUUCCCACCUAUCCAUCAAAACAAAUUCAAAUGGCACACUGACAGCAGUCCACUCUUUCAAAUACUUGGGUAUGAUAUUAGACCCCAAUCUAUCUUUUGGCCUGCACAUAGAAAAGCUUGCAUCUAAACUUUAUCCAAAAUUAGGUGCCCUGUACAGAAACAAAGCCUGC